UACGUAGGGGGCAAGCGUUGUCCGGAAUUAUUGGGCGUAAAGCGCGCGUAGGCGGCUACUUAAGUCGGAUGUGAAAGCCCUUGGCUCAACUGAGGAAGUGCACCCGAAACUGAGUGGCUUGAGUACUAAAGAGGGUCGCGGAAUUCCCGGUGUAGAGGUGAAAUUCGUAGAUAUCGGGAGGAACACCGGUGGCGAAGGCGGCGACCUGGGUAGAUACUGACGCUGAGGCGCGAAAGCGUGGGGAGCAAACAGG
rnacentral:rRNA from 1 species